rnacentral:rRNA from 1 species
UACGUAGGGGUCAAGCGUUGUCCGGAAUCAUUGGGCGUAAAGCGCGUGUAGGCGGCCAGAAAAGUCCGCUGUGAAAACUCGAGGCUCAACUUCGAGCUGUCGGUGGAAACUUUCUGGCUAGAGUCCGGAAGAGGAGAAUGGAAUUCCUGGUGUAGCGGUGAAAUGCGCAGAUAUCAGGAAGAACACCCGUGGCUAAGGCGGCUCUCUAGUACGGUACUGACGCUGAGACGCGAAAGCGUGGGGAGCAAACAGG